CCUACGGGUGGCAGCAGUGGGGAAUAUUGCGCAAUGGGCGAAAGCCUGACGCAGCGACGCCGCGUGAGGGAUGAAGGUCUUCGGAUUGUAAACCUCUGUCAGCAGGGAAGAACGGUCACUGUGCUAAUCAGCAGUGAAUUGACGGUACCUGCAAAGGAAGCACCGGCUAACUCCGUGCCAGCAGCCGCGGUAAUACGGAGGGUGCGAGCGUUAAUCGGAAUUACUGGGCGUAAAGCGCUCGUAGGCGGUAUGUCAAGUCAAGGGUGAAAGCCCCGGGCUCAACGUGGGAACUGCCUUUGAAACUGGCAAACUGGAGUGUGGGAGAGGCUGGUGGAAUGCCAGGUGUAGGGGUGAAAUGCGGAGAUAUCUGGAGGAACAUCAGUGGCGAAGGCGACUAUCUGGCACAUAACUGACGCUGAGGAGCGAAAGCGUGGGUAGCAAACAGGAUUAGAUACCCCUGUAGUC
rnacentral:rRNA from 1 species